rnacentral:rRNA from 1 species
AUUGAACGCUGGCGGCAUGCCUUACACAUGCAAGUCGAACGGUAACAGGUUAAGCUGACGAGUGGCGAACGGGUGAGUAAUGUAUCGGAACGUGCCCAGUCGUGGGGGAUAACUGCUCGAAAGAGCAGCUAAUACCGCAUACGACCUGAGGGUGAAAGCGGGGGAUCGCAAGACCUCGCGCGAUUGGAGCGGCCGAUAUCAGAUUAGGUAGUUGGUGAGGUAAAGGCUCACCAAGCCGACGAUCUGUAGCUGGUCUGAGAGGACGACCAGCCACACUGGGACUGAGACACGGCCCAGACACCUACGGGAGGCAGCAGUGGGGAAUUUUGGACAAUGGGCGCAAGCCUGAUCCAGCCAUGCCGCGUGCGGGAAGAAGGCCUUCGGGUUGUAAACCGCUUUUGUCAGGGAAGAAAAGGUUCUGGCUAAUACCUGGGACUCAUGACGGUACCUGAAGAAUAAGCACCGGCUAACUACGUG